rnacentral:rRNA from 1 species
UACGUAGGGCGCAAGCGUUGUCCGGAAUUAUUGGGCGUAAAGAGCUCGUAGGCGGCCUGUUACGUCUGCUGUGAAAUCCCGCGGCUCAACCGCGGGCCUGCAUUCGAUACGGGCAGGCUAGAGUUCGGUAGGGGAGACUGGAAUUCCUGGUGUAGCGGUGAAAUGCGCAGAUAUCAGGAGGAACACCGAUGGCGAAGGCAGGUCUCUGGGCCGAUACUGACGCUGAGGAGCGAAAGCGUGGGGAGCGAACAGG